CCCGAAUGUAGCUCUGAAAAACAGCCGCUAUGAUGCCAGAGUACAGCAAAUGUGAGCUGGUAAACUCUGAAGCACUUGCUGUGAUUUGCAGCCCCAAUGUGAAAAAUGUCCCCUGGCUUGGCUUCUCCAUGUUGAAGGCCACAGAAAUCCAUCCCAAUAUGACUCCACAGCGAGACCUUGGUGCUGUGUCCUGUGAAUCCUGCCCGGAAUUGCUGUUUUAUUGAGGCAAUAUUCUCUCUAAAUAAUAAUCAGACUUUUAUUGGGUCGUUCAUGCUCGGAGCUGGGGGAGUUUCUUGCUCCAUUGCUUUAUUGUGCCCCAGUUGCUCUUUUCAACUCUGUUCUCUAGUCUGAGGAAAAUCCGUAUGAGCCUGUAUUCAUCAUUAUUUACCAUUUGAUCAGCUGAAGCAACAUGACAUUUUCCCCGCACCUCUCUCUUUUGUGUUUUGAUCAUAAUAAUUUAGGGAUUUCAAAAAUUCUCUAUCAAAACUUGCUGUUCCCUGAAGACACAAUCCCAAAUGGCAUAUAGGGGUGAAAUUAGCCAUUUCAAAUUUUUUGGAUGUAGACAUGCAAAACAAUUUGAAUUUCUGAUAAUGAAUCAGUGCCGAGUGCAUAAAUUCUGCUUACUUUCAUAUUCUAAUUAUUAUAAAAUUGAAAUUGCAAAAUGUAAC
rnacentral:lncRNA from 1 species